GGUUGGUCUGAAGGUGGUAAGUAAUCCCAGUUGGAUUGUCAGAGUUACAGGUCAAACUCCUUGUUCCACUCUUUACCCCUUCUCACCACUGCACUUGACUAGCCAUAA
rnacentral:Y_RNA from 1 species